UAAAGGACACUGCAGAAUAGAACCUAGAGCAAAAGAAACCCAAGUUGAUGUUAACCAUGGAUCUCCCUGUCCGGAUGCUCAGCAAAAUCAUGUUGUUUAUGCACCAUUAAACAUUCCAGGGGACAGUGGAAAAUCAAGAAAAGAGAACUGUCCGGCUAUGGCACUUACUUCAGCGACAUGCACAGAGGAUUCAGUGACAUACUCUGAGGUCCACUUAAAGAAAGGACCAAAGGAUGAAGGUUAAGCAUUACUUGCAUGAAUUUAAUUUUUUCACCUUGCAUAUAAGAUGGGAUGCCAUUGACUCUUUUAAUGGCACUUCAAGCUUCUGGUCCUGUUUGGUUUUGUGAAGGUUUUUCUGCAAAUACAUUUAUAUAGU